rnacentral:lncRNA from 1 species
CCUCAAUGCUCCAUGUCUCCUGGCUGCUCCUAACAAAGCUGGGACUUGGGGCUCCCCAGUCCCCUGCCAACUGGAGCUUAACCCAGGCCAAGCCAGGCUGGGCCUUUCCCGGGGCCGGGGACAGGGGUCAUCUCCGUGAGGAGGCGGUACUGCUGCCAGUCCCGGGUGCUGCGCUUGCUCAGUGGGGUUUGGCCUCUGUGCUCUGGACGUGCGGCAGAUGGACUCUUGGAUCUUCCCGACAUCGCGUCACCUUUGUCGAGUGCCGAGGGCUCUGGGUGGAGGAGUGGCAGGGCCCUCAGGAGAGUGAGUGGCCACAGCCAGGCCUCACCCUUCUCUUUCUUUUUAUUCUCACACAGCUGGGAUUUGUUCAGUCAGCCAGGUGGAGUGAAGCUGUGGGACAGAACCGGGUAGGAGGACAGGCCUGAGCCCUGUGCCUGCUGCGGGUAAUGCAAUCUUCCUGGCAACCACUGAGCACAGCCUGGGGUGUGGCUUUGGGCGUGGAUCGGGGAAGAUCAGACAGAGGGUAGGUGUCACCUGGGUGUCAGCCUUGCCCAGGGCUGCAACCCACUGGCUACGUCCUUCCUGGAGGCAGCCAGAGGCGAGGGCUGUACCCCUUGGCCUCCUGUGGGAUCAGUUCCCGCAGGAAGUGGGAGACAGCCUUGUUCCACUGAGAGCCCCAAUCAUGCCAUUGUUCCUGGUAGUAGGACCUUCUCCUCUGUAGAGGAGGAGAGCCGCACUCGGAAGGGCUCAGUGGUUUGCCCCACGUCUGGUGCUGUGAAGCUACAUGCUGGCAUCGGGUUGGGUCUGCUGGCAGCAGGCACUGGGCUGGCUGUCACCGGCUCCCAGAGCCAGCUGUCCUCUCUCACCAGCUGCUGUGCAGUGACUUAGAUUAGCCACGAUGGGAGCAUUCAUACCAUGGAAAUUGACAGGCACUGCAAGCCAGGGCCUUUCUGUUCCCACAGCAGAGCUGUUGCUGGACAUUCACCAGAAAAACAAAGGACAUUUACCAACACCCGGUCUGUGUGACCAUGAAGCCCAUGUUCCUCCACUCUGCUGUGUCUCCUCCUGUGGUUCACCGCUGGUCCCGUGAGAGCUGGGUGUCUACAGGGCAUGGCCGGGUCGCAUGUAUGCGGGUGUGUUCCAGGUGGGCUUGGUGGCUGGGUGCGCUCUGUGGUGUAGACUGUCCCUUUGCCCUGGGCUCACUGGCUGCGUACAUGUGCACUGCCCCAGAGAAGAGUGGCACACCGGACGCCACAGCUGGCUCCGCAGGGGAGAGGGUGCAGAGGCUGGGAGGCAGCAGGAGUCACGCCCUGAAGUUGGCCUCCAGCAAGACAUUUAACUUUUCUGUGCUUUGGUCUGCAAGACCUGGAAUACAAAGACGUCAUCCUUGAAGUGAAAAAUUGUGACCAGGUUUAUCAGGCACAUAGUAAAUGCUCAGGACACAAUAGCACUAAAAAGUGGACUUGCAGCAGCCUAGGGUUGCUGCGUUCUUAUACCUCCUGGCAAUUAGUCCUGUAUCUAUGUUUGUCUAUUCUCCCAGUUGGGAAACCCACUGCUAAUGAGAACAGCACUGGGUAAACUCUAACCCCGAGCACCUGCCAUUUACAUUGAAGAGUCGUAGAGUAGUAGAGAGAAGGGGUCUGAAUUCAGUUCAGGUUCCAGCUGUGCUUUCAGCUUGAGAUUCCUGUGUAUCAAACGUUCAGGUUCCCUCUGUAGAGCGGGAAUGAACAUCAUCUCUCUGACUGACGGUCAUGAGACAUCAGGCAGGUGCUCAGUAUAGUUCUCCACCUGCAGCUCAGCACAGGAAAUAGCUAUGGAAAGUCAGUGGUUCUUUUUCCCUGUCUUAUGGGCUUUUGGAAACACCAUUGUGGUAAGAUCUGUGGUCUAGAGAUAAGCACACCUCAGAGGUCAGGCAGGAAAGAGUCCUGCAAGGGGGGGCCUGGGGACUCGGGAACAGUGCCCACCAGUGGGUGUGGCCAGCUCCUGACUUGUUCACAAAGACAGUUGAUCUGCAACAGUCUCGUCAGAGAGGAAAGCAUGUGAACGCCAUGUGGAGAGGACCAGGCCUGGGAUACAGCGUCAGCUUCCCCCCCCACCCUGCACCGCGUUGCUGUUGAGUUACAUCGUGCGCUGGUGGAGCCAGACUCUUGCUCUGUGUGCCUGGAAGCAGUGGUGCCGCAUCGAGGUGGACCCUUCAGAGUGGAUGGAGGCACCUGAAAGCGGCUUUUGCUCUGGACGCCAAGCCAUGCAGAGCAGCUUCCUCUCUGUUGGUUUCGGCGUGGAAAUGUGCAUCUGCUUAUAAUUUAAUAAAAAUGCCCUUGAGGACAAAUGAUGCACCACUGAUUUUUCAGCCUCUUGGAAGAAGUCCCCAGUGUUGAGGGACAUUGAAAUCAGACAGAGAAGCUUACAUAAUGACUGAUUUGGUUGCAAGAUUACUCCUGAGAAGCAGGCUGUGGCUUGCUCUGGCCCCUGGCAGAUGGAGAUUCAUCUGGAUUAUCACUGGGCACAGUAGAUAGGGAGAUGCGGCUGACCUUUCAGAGAGGCCCUGGGCUCCCUGAAAAUGACGAUGUUACUCCAAGACUGCAUGGAAAGUAAGAGCCCCGAGUCUGAUCAGAACUCUGCAACUCAUACUGUGAAUCAGCCGAGUGUCGGUGGGUCCAUCUGUAGAAAGAAGGGUUGAUCGCUAGAUUCUGGGAAGUCCCUCUGUGUUCUGAUGAGGUCUACGACCUCUGUUCCCGCACAUGAGUCUCAUUUCGUGCAGUCUCAGGGUCCAGGCUUAGAACUCCUGGUUAAAUUACUGCAUUUAAUUCUGGAAUCAGGAACCAAUAUAUUUUCUUAUAGUGACACUUUUCAUUUCUCCUGAGUCAGAAAACCAUAUGAUGCAAGUUAAUUUUAUUUCUUUGUUCUCACACCCUGCAAAAUCUAUCCCAGAGGGUGUUGGCGUCUAUUCCCAAUAUUUCUGUGGGAACUGUGAUACCAAAGCCUGAAUAACUGAAGUCUGGUAUAUUCUAACAGUGCUGUAGCCUUGGCUUGUUGAACACUGUAUUUUGAGCAAAGGUGACAUGUUUCAUAGUUUUUCUGUGCCCAUGGAAAUAAAUGGCCUAACAUUUCCAGUGUGGGGGAGAGAGGUUUUGGUUCAGUACAAUCUGACUGGGGCCUUGUGACCUCAUCAUGAAUGCUCUGUUGCACCAGGAACUUUGCAUCCACCUCUUACGUCUGAGUGUGGGAUGGACAGGAUGAUUUUCCUUUUCCUGGGGGAACCCCAGGUGAGAAUGACACUCGUGAAAGUAGCCUUCAUCCUGAUCACUGUGCUGGGCUCAAAUCCUCUUGGGUGAGAAGGACCUGGGUGGGGCGACUCUGAGUGGCUGCCCCAGUGCCCAUGGCCCAGUGCCGCU